rnacentral:rRNA from 1 species
AGUGAGGAAUAUUGCACAAUGGGGGGAACCCUGAUGCAGCAACGCCGCGUGGAGGAUGACGCAUUUCGGUGUGUAAACUCCUUUUAUAUGUCAAGAAAAUGACGGUAGCAUAUGAAUAAGCACCGGCUAACUCCGUGCCAGCAGCCGCGGUAAUACGGAGGGUGCAAGCGUUACUCGGAAUCACUGGGCGUAAAGGACGCGUAGGCGGGUUGGUAAGUCAGAUGUGAAAUCCUACAGCUUAACUGUAGAACUGCAUUUGAAACUACUAACCUAGAGUAUGGGAGGGGGAGAUGGAAUUAGUGGUGUAGGGGUAAAAUCCGUAGAUAUCACUAGGAAUACCGAAAGCGAAGGCGAUCUCCUGGAACAUUACUGACGCUAAGGCGUGAAAGCGUGGGGAGCAAACGGGAUUAGAUACCCCGGUAGUCCACGCCCUAAACGAUGUUCACUAGUCGUCGGGAUGCUAGUCAUCUCGGUGAUGCACUUAACAGAUUAAGUGAACCGCCUGGGGAGUACGGUCGCAAGAUUAAAACUCAAAGGAAUAGACGGGGACCCGCACAAGUGGUGGAGCAUGUGGUUUAAUUCGAAGAUACGCGAAGAACCUUACCUAGCCUUGACAUUGAUAGAAUACACCAGAGAUGGAGUAGUGCCUUUCGGGGAACUUGAAAACAGGUGCUGCACGGCUGUCGUCAGCUCGUGUCGUGAGAUGUUGGGUUAAGUCCCGCAACGAGCGCAACCCUCGUCCUUAGUUGCCAGCAGGUUAAGCUGGGCACUCUAAGGAGACUGCCUUCGUAAGGAGGAGGAAGGUGAGGACGACGUCAAGUCAUCAUGGCCCUUAUGGCUAGGGCUACACACGUGCUACAAUGGGGCGUACAGAGUGUUGCGAUACCGCGAGGUGGAGCUAAUCACUUAAAGCGUCUCUCAGUUCGGAUAGCAGUCUGCAACUCGACUGCUUGAAGCUGGAAUCACUAGUAAUCGUAGAUCAGCAAUGCUACGGUGAAUACGU